rnacentral:misc_RNA from 1 species
UUUCUCGCAAUCCCGACCAUGGUCGGCGCGUUUGUCUACGAUUUUUACAAGAACCGCGCUGACAUGACGAUGGAUCACGGGUUGAUCAUCGCAGUCGGUUUCGUGGUGUCGUUCAUCACGGCGAUCAUCGUGGUGAAGACGUUCCUGGACUAUGUCACCCGCCACGGCUUCGCGCUGUUUGCAUGGUGGCGCGUGAUCGUCGGCUCGCUCGGCCUGAUCGCGCUGGCGCUCGGGAAGUAAC